GACGAACGCUGGCGGCGUGCUUAACACAUGCAAGUCGAACGGAAAGGCCCUGCUUUUGUGGGGUUCUCGAGUGGCGCACGGGUGAGUAACACGUGAGUAACCUGCCCUUGACUUUGGGAUAACUUCAGGAAACUGCGGAUAAUACCGGAUAGGAGCUCCUGCAGCAUGGGGGUGGUUGGAAAGUUUCGGCGGUGGGGGAUCGACUCGCGGCUUCUCAGCUUGUUGGGGGGGUAGUGGCAUACCAAGGCUUUGACGGGUAGCAUGCAUGGGAGGGUAGACAGGGUCAUGAGGCCUACGAGACGCAGCAGACGGCUACGGGAGGCAGCAGUGGGGAAUAUGACACAAUGAGGCGAAGUCUGAUGCGACAACGCUCCGUGCGGGAUGACGUCCUACUUGGUAUGAACCGCUGUCGCCUGAGACGUAGCGUGAGUGACGGUAAUGGGUAAAGAAGCACCGGCUAACUACGUG
rnacentral:rRNA from 1 species